UACGUAGGGGGCAAGCGUUGUCCGGAUUUACUGGGCGUAAAGAGCGUGUAGGCGGCCAAGCAGGUCCGUUGUGAAAACUGGAGGCUUAACCUCCAGACGUCGACGGAAACCGCGUGGCUAGAGUCCGGAAGAGGAGAGUGGAAUUCCUGGUGUAGCGGUGAAAUGCGCAGAUAUCAGGAGGAACACCAUGGCGAAGGCAGCACUCGUGGAACGUCGACUGACG
rnacentral:rRNA from 1 species